rnacentral:rRNA from 1 species
GUCUAUGUCCAUGCUACCCUGAACAAGUCCGAUCCCGUCUGAUCUUGAAAGCUAAACAGGGUCAUGCCUGGUUAGUACUUGGAUGGGAGACCACCUAAGAAGACCAGGUGCUGUAGGCA